rnacentral:rRNA from 1 species
GUCGAGCGCGAACCCCGCAAGGGGGGAGAGCGGCAAACGGGGUAGUAACGGGUAGGUGACGUACCCUCGGGUUGGGGAUAGCCACGGGAAACUGUGGGUAAUACCCAAUAAUCUCCUGAGACGUGAUGGUCUUGGGAGCAAAGGUGUGAUUCCACCGGAGGAGCGGCCUGCUUCGUAUUAGCUAGUUGGUGAGGUAACGGCUCACCAAGGCUUCGAUGCGUAGGGGGUGUGAGAGCAUGACCCCCACCACUGGGACUGAGAUACUGCCCAGACACCUACGGGUGGCUGCAGUCGAGAAUCUUCGGCAAUGGGCGCAAGCCUGACCGAGCGACGCCGCGUGUGGGAUGAAGGCCCUUGGGUUGUAAACCACUGUCAGAGGGGAUGAAGUGCCAGAGAGUUAUCUCUUUGGUUUGACAUAGCCUCAGAGGAAGCACGGGCUAAGUUCGUGCCAGCAGCCGCGGUAAUACGAACUGUGCGAACGUUAUUCGGAAUCACUGGGCUUACAGGGUGCGUAGGCGGCUUGCUAAGUAGGGUGUGAAAGCCCCCGGCUUAACCGGGGAAUGGCGCCUUAAACUGGCGAGCUGGAGUGAGAUAGGGGUGUGCGGAACUUCCGGUGGAGCGGUGAAAUGUGUUGAUAUCG